rnacentral:rRNA from 1 species
GAAAAGCAGAUCGCAUGAUCAGCUUUUAAAGGCGGCGUAAAGCUGUCGCUAUGGGGGAUGGGCCCCGCGGUGCAUUAGCUAGUUGGUAAGGUAAAGGCUUACCAAGGGCGAUGAUGCAUAGCCCGAGUUGAGAGACUGAUCGGCCACAUUGGGGACUGAGACACGGCCCAAACUCCUACGGGAGGCAGCAGUAGGGAAUCUUCCACAAUGGACGCAAGUCUGAUGGAGCAAACGCCGCGUGAGUGAAGAAGGUUUUCGGAUCGUAAAGCUCUGUUGUUGGUGAAGAAGGAUAGAGGUAGUAACUGGCCCUUUAUUUGACGGUAAUCAACCAGAAAGUCACGGGCUAACUACGUGCCAGCAGCCGCGGUAAU